UGCGUAGGCGGUUUACUAAGUCAGAUGUGAAAGCCCCGGGCUUAACCUGGGAACUGCAUUUGAUACUGGUAGGCUAGAGUAUGAUAGAGGGGGGUAGAAUUCCUGGUGUAGCGGUGAAAUGCGUAGAUACCAGGAGGAAUACCAGUGGCGAAGGCGGCCCCCUGGAUCAAUACUGACGCUGAGGUACGAAAGCGUGGGUAGCGAACA
rnacentral:rRNA from 1 species